rnacentral:rRNA from 1 species
CGUACAGGCGGCCAUUCAAGUCGGUUGUGAAAUUUCUAGGCUCAACCUGGAAACUGCGUCCGAUACUGUAUGGCUUGAGAUCAGGAGAGGAGAGUGGAAUAUGUGGUGUAGCGGUGAAGUGCGUAGAUAUCACAUAGAACACCAGUGGCGAAGGCGGCUCUCUGGCCUGAUUCUGACGCUGACGCGCGAAAGCUAGGGUAGCGAACG